rnacentral:rRNA from 1 species
UACGUAGGGUGCAAGCGUUGUCCGGAAUUAUUGGGCGUAAAGAGCUUGUAGGCGGUUUGUCGCGUCUGCUGUGAAAAUCCGGGGCUCAACCCCGGACUUGCAGUGGGUACGGGCAGACUAGAGUGUGGUAGGGGAGACUGGAAUUCCUGGUGUAGCGGUGGAAUGCGCAGAUAUCAGGAGGAACACCGGUGGCGAAGGCGGCUCUCUGGGACGGUACUGACGCUGAGACGCGAAAGCGUGGGGAGCAAACAGG